UACGGAGGGAGCUAGCGUUGUUCGGAAUUACUGGGCGUAAAGCGCGCGUAGGCGGUUUUUUAAGUCAGAGGUGAAAGCCCAGUGCUCAACACUGGAACUGCCUUUGAAACUGGAAAACUUGAAUCUUAGAGAGGUCAGUGGAAUUCCGAGUGUAGAGGUGAAAUUCGUAGAUAUUCGGAAGAACACCAGUGGCGAAGGCGACUGACUGGACAAGUAUUGACGCUGAGGUGCGAAAGCGUGGGGAGCAAACAGG
rnacentral:rRNA from 1 species